GGCCAGUGAGGACAAAAAUAAAGUUAUAAGACUUUUAAAAAUGUGGAUAUUUGGGUCCUCUUUGGCGCCCCCUAGAACGUAAACCGUGGGGUACAGCGUCAUGAUUUUUACAACUUUGAAUGGCCAUGGGGUGUAGAUUUGCCUGAGCAAAUGUGGUGUCAGUGGGACGAAAGCUUUAGGAGGAGUUAGCCACAUUCCAAUGUGUGCGAAUCGGCAAAAAAUGCGAAAUCGCCCUUUAACCGUACAUUUUACAGAUACGCGCACAUUGACUUUUUCGUAGAUCUUAUUGAGAUACACUUGAUUGUCAAAUUUUGUGUCAAUAUGACAAAGCGUACAGGCAUGACACUCAACAAUGUGUAUUUUCGCCUUAGGGGACAAGAAAAAAUGGACUUUUUUCUCAUGCCAUGGGGGGGCGCUCUUUUGGGGAGUAAAAAUUCCUUCACAAAUGUGUUGAUGGCUGGACAUUGCAUCAUCCUAGAAAACUUGGAGGCCAGUGAGGACAAAAAUAAAAAGUUAUAAGACUUUGAAAUAUGUGGAUUUUAGGGUUAUCUUUGGCGCCCCCUAGAACCUAAACCGUGGGGUGCAGCGUCAUGAUUUGAAUAACUUUUAAUGGCCAUGGGGUGUAGAUUGGCCUGAGCAAAUGUGGUGCAAGUGGAAAGAAAGCUUUAGGAGGAGUUAGCGAAAUUCCAAUGUGUGCGGAUCGGCAAAAAAUGCGGAAUAACCCUUUAACCGUACAUUUGACAGAUACGCGCGCAUUGACUUUUUCGUAGAUCUUAUUGAGAUACAUGUGUGUGUCAAAUUUUGUGUCAAUAUGACAAAGCGUACAGGCGUGACACUCAACAAUGUGUAUUUUCCCCUUAGGGGACAAGAAAAAAUGGACUUUUUUCUCCGGCCAUGGGGGGGGCGCUCUUUUGGGGAGUAAAAAUUCCUUCACAAAUGUGUUGAUGGCUGGACAUUGCAUCAUCCUAGAAAACUUGGAGGCUAGUGAGGGCAAAAAUAAAAAGUUAUAAGACUUUUAAAUAUGUGGAUUUUAGGGUUAUCUUUGGCGCCCCCUAGAACCUAAACCGUGGGGUGCAGCGUCAUGAUUUGAAUAACUUUUAAUGGCCAUGGGGUGUAGAUUGGCC